rnacentral:tRNA from 1 species
UCCCUGGUGGACCAGUGGUUAGGAUACAGCACUUCCACUGCUGCAGCCUGGGUUCAAUCCCUGGUCUCAGAA